AUUACGGUGACCAUGCAUGUCUAUCCAAUUCUAGUUCAAAUUUAAGAUAUAAGGAAUAAGGUGGAGGUCUAUUGAAACACUUGUAUUCACAUAUUCAACUAGUAUAUUUGCAGUAUAAAAACAGUCACAUAUUUAAUAAAGUCUUAUGUUUACAUGUUAUAUAUGUUAUGCUUUAUAUGUUGCCUGGUAUAUGUCGUGAUGAGAAGUCUUUACAAACAUCAAAUAUUCCUUUAUAAAAUUUAAAUACACUGUUCCAAUAUUCAAAUCAUCCUUCCUGUGCAAGGUGUUGCCAGCCAGUAACACACACCCCCUCAACACUUUGCACAGUUUUACCCCCUGUAUAAUAUAUAAUACAAUACACCAAAAAUAAAAUAUUCGCUAACAUGACUUUGUAAAUUUAUCCAUACCACCAUAAAUACUUAUUUAUACAUUACUAUUUUAUAAACUCAUGAAAUCAGUACAACAGAACAUAAUAAAUUUAAUAAACAAAAAAUUCUAUCUCAUUUUAUCCAAAAUUAUUAACUCCCAUCAAUCAAACAUUAUUUAUAUCAAUCUCUUAUAAAUAUUGCCAUCUCAAAUUUCUCCUUACUUGCACACUCCUACUCGACUAAACAAAUUAUUUUACUCAAUCAACUCACUCAUAAAACUUCAAUAAACAUACCUCAACUUCCUAUAUAAUAAAAUUUCCUCAAUUACUACCUACUCUGUUGUAAAUGAAACCUAUUUUAUGUAGAGGUUGCAGUGUAAGACUGGCUGUCUAGGAUAAUUUAAAUAAUGACAUAUGUUUAAUUUUAAGUUAGUUGUUC